rnacentral:rRNA from 1 species
UGAUUCCCCUAGUAACGGCGAGUGAAGAGGGAAAAGCUCAAAGUUGGAACCUGGCUGUCCUAGAUAGUCCGGAUUGUAAACUAAAGAGCGUGAAUCCAGGCAAGCCGGUUGAUCAAGUCCUUUGGAAUGAGGCGCCACUGAGGGUGAGAGCCCCGUAAAUCGACUGAGCAUUUGUCUUUUGUGUUUCGCGUUCAAAGAGUCAGGUUGUUUGGGAAUGCAGCCUAAAGCUGGUGGUAAAUCCCACCUAAAGCUAAAUACAGGCGAGAGACCGAUAGCGAACAAGUACCGUGAGGGAAAGAUGAAAAGUACUUUGAAAAGAGAGUUAAACAGUAUGUGAAAUUGCCAAGAGGGAAGCAUUUGGAGUUAGACUGACUUGAAGUUAAUCAGCUUGGUCUUUGGACUGGGUGUACUUGACUUCUAUGUCUGCCAAUAGCAGUUAGUCCUGGUGGAAAAAACUGAAGGGAAGGUAGUCCUUCGGGAUGUUUAUAGACCUUUGGAAAAUACACUGGGAUUGACUGAGGAAUGCAGUAGAUGCUAUUAAGGCUUCGUCUAGUAGGUGUUAGGUGAAGGUACUUGGUAUUUUCAGCUUGCUGAUGUGCUAGGUUACUUGAGCUUAAUUGCUUGCUAGAACUGUAAUC